UACGUAGGUGGCAAGCGUUAUCCGGAAUUAUUGGGCGUAAAGCGCGCGCAGGUGGUUUCUUAAGUCUGAUGUGAAAGCCCACGGCUCAACCGUGGAGGGUCAUUGGAAACUGGGGGACUUGAGUGCAGAAGAGGAGAGCGGAAUUCCACGUGUAGCGGUGAAAUGCGUAGAGAUGUGGAGGAACACCAGUGGCGAAGGCGGCUCUCUGGUCUGUAACUGACGCUGAGGCGCGAAAGCGUGGGGAGCGAACAGG
rnacentral:rRNA from 1 species